AGACCUGAUUAUCUCUCUAAACCACAGGUAAUCUGAGUUCAAAGAGUUAACAUAGCCUGAAGCCCCUCAUUGGCCCCAGACCCUGAAAAGUUGCUAGGUGACUUUGCAGAAGAGAAACAAAUAGAAACCCUUUUCCAAUUGAGAAGAAAAUUAACGGGAAAAGAUGUUUAGAGGCAACACAUCUGCAGAGUGUUUUUUUUUUUCUUUUUUGUAUUUUUAACAGUAUUAACACUUAUAAGUAGUAAAAGUAAUUAUGGUGGUCGGAUUUUGACACUUGGAGAGAAAAACUUACAAGAAAUGUCUGGUAACAAGCAUCAAGUAACUCUAAGUCUAGGCUGAGGAAUGGGGAAUAUUGAAGAGCUUGGAAACAAUUAGAAUUUAAAGUCCUAGUUUCAGAACUCCAAAGACUCUUUUUUUUUUUUUUUAAUUUCAAUUUGUAAUAUUCCUUUAAGAGCCAUUUGGUGCAAUUCAUAGCCUGAUUCACGCCACUGGCGGCCUCUGAUUUCAGUAAGAAAUGCAGAAAUUUAUAGUGGAAUGUAAAACGGGGACAGGUUUUUAGUUUUCUAAAUUGAGGUUUUAAACAAGCAAACUUCUGAAGGUUUAAGAAGCCACAUAGCUGAGCUACGGGAAUCUGGUUUCUUUUCCGGUCAGAACAAAUAAACACACAAACACAUAUCUAACUCACAAAGUGUUGGAAGAGAUAAAGCAAUGCUCUUUACAAAGGAGGAAAACAAAAACUCAGCCUUGUGGGCAACAGAAGAAAAGUCACAUUGGCCAGCAGACAGCACCCUACGCUGGCAGAGGGAGAAAUCUGAGUUCCAGCGGCGUCAGGGGCAUUUGCACACAGCCUCCCGUUUCAAGUUGCAUGUCUCCGGAGUCCCAGGGAAGGCCCCAGCCUGUCUCCCUUCUCAGAGCCUCAGGGAGUGAUGAAAAGCCCCUGAACCAGCCACAGGACUCGCAGAGACACUGGGGCUCAGAAAGAUUGACUUGGUCAAAGUCUCACCGCCUGUAGGGGGUGCAGAGCCGAAGAGGUCAUGACAGUGCAGAGAGCACAGUUUGACUGUGACAUGACAGGCGUCGGCUGGGGGAACCCCUGCUAGCAGCAGUAUCACCUGAGAACUUGCUGGAGACCCACAUUCUCUGAAGUCUGGCACCAGGCCUACUGAACGGGAACUCCAGGGGCAGGCCCCAGCAAUCUGCGUUUUAAGAAGCUCCCCAGAUUCAUCCUCCUCACUCAGAAGAAAGUUCUCAGAUCUCUUCUGAAGAGACAGAAAAGACAGGAUAUAAAAAUAAAAAUGGAAAGGGUUUUCUCAGCAGGAAGGAUGGGCAUCUGCUUUUCCUGGACCCACUGUUUCUUCUCCAGGGACCGCCCAGGCCUUCCAACAAAAACCUCUGGGUCUAAGCUUCUGCAGGUGCCAUCCAAAGAUACCUGCGCCGGCAGCAGGGGAGCAUUGGCAGUGUUCCAAGAACUUAAAACCUCGUGAAACCUUGCGCUUGGGAGGAAUCUUGGAAAUCAGCCACCCAAUUCUUCAUUUGAUGCUUGAGUCUCUAUCAACCUCUGCUGGGAACUCACCCCUAUUCAAAAGCUUUGAUAACUUGGAGUGCUAGAAAGUCCUUUCACUGGACUUGAGAGCAGGACUAUGAUUUCUUGUUUGCUGUGAUAUUCCUACUCCCCCCCACCCGCCCCCCACAACAGUGCUCAAUAAAUACUAGUUGAAUGGAUGGAUGAAUGAAUGAGCUAGUGAGCAGAUCUUCUGCCCAGUUUGUGUGGUUGCUGUGAAGGAGGGCGUCAGGGUCUGCCUGGGAUGCUGUCAGCGUGACUCAGCACAGCCUGUGCCUUGCUGAGGGCAGAUGCCCUUGGAACUUGAGGUGGAUAGGAGAGUUCCCAGCUAAGAGGUCCCUGGGGUGGGGAGACGAGUCUUUCCAGUGUUCCGAGUGCCAGGGCCGGGUAGCAGUCUUACUGCAUGGCCAUGACUUAUUACAUUCCCGGGUAAAUCGAAAUACAAUCCAUAUGUUCUGGGGUUAUUUACACGAUUCUCAUCAAGAUGCCGCCGUUGCGUAAGAGCCAUUUGACAUCGAUGGCACGGCUUUCUUUCUUCCAUUCUGAGAAGAGUCCCUGAAGAAAAGCCAAUUCCACUGUCCCCGGAAAGGGAGGGGCAGGAGCACAGGGAACAGUCAUCUGGGGCAGCCCUGCUGGCAACGCAGUGCCUGGGGAGACUGUUUUCAGUGAGUCUCAUAGGGGAGGCUGAGGAAAGAGGGAGACUCCUGCCAAGCUGCAUGCCCCCGAGGGCUCUGCCAGCUGCUGCCAGCACGACUUCAGUGGAGGGCGGGGUGGAAAUGGCUUAAGGAGUUGCCAAAGAACAGGGAGGAAGAGCUGGUGCAUCGGGAAGAUGGGGGCUUCCAGGAAGGACACCUGGGUUGCAUUCUGGUGUAACUUUGGGUAAAUUACUUCCUUCCCACCGCCCCUGGGCCUCAGUUUCCCCUUCUGUGAAGUGUGAGGCUGCACUUAUGCUGCACCAUCCUUAUGCAUCCUGAUAGACUAUUCUAGGGUCCCUUUUUUAUAUCUUAUUGUGAAUAUUAUCUGGCAAUGCCUAGAUAAAUAUUUUUCAAGAAAAUAUCUUUACCACAAUCCUUAGUAAGAAAUACAUUUUACACAGGAAUCUAGUGUGUGUGUGUGUGUGUGUGUGUGUAUGUAUGUAUGUAUGUAUAUAUAUAAAUAUAUAAAACUGAAACAAAGUUUUCACAAAUCAAUGCUUACCCUUCCUACAAGGAUAGACAUGUAGAUUAAUGGACCAGCAGAAAGAGUCCAGAAAUAAAUCUACGCAUUUAUGGUCAAGUGAUUUCCAACCAAGGUGCCAAGGCAAUUCAGUGAGGAAAGAUAGCCUUUUUAGGUGGUGGCACAACUGGAUAUCCAUAUGCAAAAAUCCACCCAGACAUCCAUCCAUCCAGACAUACAUAUAUACGUGUAUAUACUUACACCCUUACUUCACGUGAUACACAAAAAUGAAUUAAAAAUGGACCUUAGAUUGAAAUGUAAGAGCUAAAAGUAAGGAGCGAACUAUGUGUACUUGUUAACCACAAGGACGAUCCUCAUGAACAUUAUGUUAAGUGAAAGAAGACGAACGUGAAAGACUAAAUACUUUGUGUUUCCAUUUACAUGAAAUUUCUAGAAAAGGCAAAACAUUAGGGACAGAAAGCAGCUUGGAGGUUUAUUUGGGCUGUAGGGCUGCUAACAGGCAUGGGGGAACUUUGUGAAGUGACAGCAGUGUUCUGAAACUGUGGUGAUGGUUACACAGCCCUAUAAAUUAGCUAAAAAUCAUCAAAUUGUACACUUACAAUGGAUGAACUUUAUAAUAUGUAAAUUAUAACUCAAAGAGACACACUAAUAAAAUUAAACCUGAAGGAUA